rnacentral:rRNA from 1 species
GAUGAACGCUGGCGGCGCGCCUAACACAUGCAAGUCGAACGAUUAAAGCACCUUCGGGUGUGUAUAAAGUGGCGAACGGCUGAGUAACACGUGGGCAACCUGCCCCUCUCAUUGGGAUAGCCACGGGAAACCGUGGAUAAUACCGAAUACUUCGAGACUUCCGCAUGGAAGACUCGAGAAAGCUCCGGCGGAGAGGGAUGGGCCCGCGGCCUGUUAGCUUGUUGGUGGGGUAACGGCCUACCAAGGCAAUGAUGGGUAGCUGGGUUGAGAGACCGACCAGCCAGAUUGGGACUGAGACACGGCCCAGACUCCUACGGGAGGCAGCAGUGGGGAAUCUUGCACAAUGGGCGAAAGCCUGAUGCAGCGACGCCGCGUGCGGGAUGAAGGCCUUCGGGUUGUAAACCGCUUUCAGCAGGGACGAGGCGAAAGUGACGGUACCUGCAGAAGAAGCCCCGGCUAACUACGUGCCAGCAGCCGCGGUAAUACGUAGGGGGCAAGCGUUAUCCGGAUUCAUUGGGCGUAAAGCGCUCGUAGGCGGUCUGUUAGGUCGGGAGUUAAAUCCGGGGGCUCAGCCCCCGUUCGCUCCCGAUACCGGCAGACUUGAGUUUGGUAGGGGAAGGUGGAAUUCCUAGUGUAGCGGUGGAAUGCGCAGAUAUUAGGAAGAACACCAGUGGCGAAGGCGGCCUUCUGGGCCAUAACUGACGCUGAGGAGCGAAAGCUAGGGGAGCAAACAGG